rnacentral:rRNA from 1 species
AUUGAACGCUAGCGGGAUGCCUUACACAUGCAAGUCGAACGGAGUGGCGAACGGGUGAGUAAUGUAUCGGAACGUGCCCAGUAGCGGGGGAUAACUACGCGAAAGCGUCGCUAAUAACGCAUAAUAUGGGAGCGGGCGAUAUCGGCUUAGCUAGUUGGUGGGGUAACGGUUCACCAAGGAGACGAUCCGUAGCUGGUAUGAGAGGACGACACGCCACACUGGGACUGAGACACUGCCCAGACGCCUACGGGAGGCAGCAGUGGGGAAUUUUGGCAAAUGGGGGAAACCCUGAUCCAGCCAUCCCGCGUGUGCGAUGAAGGCUUUCGGGGUGUAAAGCACUUUUGGCAGGAAAGCGGUACCUGCAGAAUAAGCACCGGCUAACUACGUGCCAGCAGCCGCGGUAAUUC